AUCUGGGCGGCGGAAUUCAGGAUGGCUGGGCGGGGUUUCGCGCCUCGUCCGGCCGUUUGAUAUUUCCGUCGCCGUGUCGGACGUCGCGACCUGUUCGUCGUCGGUCCUUGCUCGGAGGAAUCGUGAUCGAGUUCGCAGCGCGAUGCGUUCCGGCGUGUCGCGCGGCGAAGACGCGACUCUCUGGCCGACGACAGACAGUAAGCAACGGUGUCCGACGCCGUGUCUCGUACUCGGCGCCGGUGCCGGUCUGCGACGAUUUCUUCGGGCCUCUUUCCGACCCGUCUUGAAACACGGACCAAGGAGUCUAACAUGCGCGCGAGUCGCGGGGUUUCGAGUGCGCUACGGCGCGCUCGUCACUUGCGAAACCCGUACGUGGAAGGCGUAAUGAAAGUGAAUGGGGAAGAUGGCGUUCCGAGUCCACGUACCGUGAUCGAGUGUCGCGGCCGGACGUCCGCACUCCCGGGGCGUCUCAAUGGUUCGUCGCGGACGCGGACCGCCGUCUCUCGGGGCGACGGUCGGUCUGCGCCGGACCGA
rnacentral:rRNA from 1 species